GUUUCCCGUGAUUAGUGAGCACUUUCAAUUUCAGAUGUCACCCCACAUUUUGGAAGCAGACAACUGUUCUCAUCCAGACAUACCACAGUUACAACUGGUACAUCUCAACACAAUCACAAGACCUGCAGGAAUCUGGCACGGUGAGACCCCCUGCCAGAGUACACCCGGUAGUUGGGAUCAGGGUAGUACUGGUCCAGGUUGAGUGUGUAUGCACAUUUACAAUUCCUUGGUACCCUGAAAGAGAAAACAUCAAGUACAGAUCUUUAUAAAAUGUCACACAUAACAGCCUCUGAAAUGGAAAUCAGCCUGCCAGCCUCUUGUGCAGUAGGAAUGAGGAGGAUUGACUCAACUUGCAUUUGGUCAAUGACCGUAUUGGCCACCACAGUGUCAGAAAUAUCAAGAAUGGACCACAGGGAAGAGUAUUUAGAAGAAGAUGUCUCAAACCUAGACACAUCAAGAACCUGCAACCAAAUUAAAAUAAUGUAACUGGAUAUAGACAGACCAAGAUAUUAGUCUUUAGUAAUAAAAGUGUAAAUAAU